AUGAUUCGGGAAGGAGAUCAGGAAAAGAACAGGUGUUGUACCUGAUGACAAGGGUGGAAUAGUCAGUGCUCCAAACCCAGGUUGCUAUCUUUCAGAGAUGUCGCCUGCCUCACUUCUGGGAGCGCCCCAUCCAGCCAGCAUCCAGCCAGGUGGAACUGCAGGCUCCGGCAGCGGCUGAGAUGAGGGAACUCUGAGGCCCAGAGAAGUGAAGUGACUUGCCCGCAGUCACACAGCUGACAAGUGGUGGAGCCUUCCAAGCCUACCAAAGGGAAGAGUCGUCUCAGCAAUCGUCAGAAGUGAAGCAGGGGGAGAUGAGGUAACUGAGGCCCAGAGAAGUUCAGUGACUUGCCC